UACGUAGGGGGCAAGCGUUGUCCGGAAUCAUUGGGCGUAAAGCGCGUGUAGGCGGUUCGGUAAGUCGGCUGUGAAAGUCCAGGGCUCAACCCUGGGAUGCCGGUCGAUACUGCCGGACUAGAGUUCGGAAGAGGCGAGUGGAAUUCCCGGUGUAGCGGUGAAAUGCGCAGAUAUCGGGAGGAAGACCAAUGGCGAAGGCAGCUCGCUGGGACGUUACUGACGCUGAGACGCGAAAGCGUGGGGAGCAAACAGG
rnacentral:rRNA from 1 species